rnacentral:rRNA from 1 species
AGAGUUUGAUCAUGGCUCAGGACGAACGCUGGCGGCGUGCCUAACACAUGCAAGUCGAGCGGAGAAGGGCAUUUAUGUUCUUUUCAGCGGCGGACGGGUGAGUAACACGUGGGUAACCUGCCUCGAAAUGGGGGAUAGCCUUCCGAAAGGGAGAUUAAUACCGCAUAACCUCGGAUCUCCGCAUGGAGGACCGAGAAAAGGAGAAAUCCGUUUCGAGAUGGACCCGCGGCGCAUUAGCUAGUUGGUGAGGUAACGGCCCACCAAGGCGACGAUGCGUAGCCGACCUGAGAGGGUGAUCGGCCACAUUGGAACUGAGACACGGUCCAGACUCCUACGGGAGGCAGCAGUGGGGAAUAUUGCACAAUGGGCGAAAGCCUGAUGCAGCAACGCCGCGUGAGUGAUGAAGGCCUUCGGGUCGUAAAGCUCUUUGAUCAGGGACGAUAAUGACGGUACCUGAAAAACAAGCCACGGCUAACUACGUGCCAGCAGCCGCGGUAAUACGUAGGUGGCAAGCGUUGUCCGGAUUUACUGGGCGUAAAGAAUGCGUAGGUGGAUAUUUAAGUGGGAUGUGAAAUCCCCGGGCUCAACCCGGGAACUGCAUUCCAAACUGGAUAUCUGGAGUGCAGGAGAGGAAAGUGGAAUUCCUAGUGUAGCGGUGAAAUGCGUAGAUAUUAGGAGGAACACCAGUGGCGAAGGCGACUUUCUGGACUGUAACUGACACUGAGGCAUGAAAGCGUGGGGAGCAAACAGGAUUAGAUACCCUGGUAGUCCACGCCGUAAACUAUGGGUACUAGGUGUAGGGGGUAUCGACUCCCCCUGUGCCGUCGUUAACACAAUAAG